AUCAAGUCCAGCACUGACACCUCCUUGAGCUGCAAACCCUGAAGGUACUAGAACAAAGAUUGCUGGAAGUACCACGGCAAAAGAAGAAGAUUUAAUGAAAUGUGAGUACAUAUUUCCUAAGCAUCCGACUGCAAAUGAACCUAUAGCACUUGAUAUCUGACUAGCACCAAAAUGUAAGGAAGAAAAGUAAUACACCACAUAUCCACAGCAUGCCACAAACAUUUGAAUAGGCCAUUGUCUAGGAUGAGACUGGGUCACGAUUAAUAGACUCAACGUAAAUAUUGGGAUUAAAAGAAUGUACCAGUAUGGACUGACUGCAAUUAUACUCAUACAUGUAUCAGCAUCGGUAGCAUCUUUGUCCAUCCAACCAUACAGAGCAGAUCCAAUGGUAAUCCCAAAACUUAAAAAUAAUGAAAAAAUGACGGCGUAUAACAUUCGAACACCUCCUGCCACAAUGUUUUUUGAUUGAAGCUCCAAAACGCCACAAAAUACUACGUAACCUGGAAGAAUUAAAGUAAUGGCUCCUUCAACGAGAGCAGCAAAACAAAAUACAGGUUUGUCGUAUCUGCUGAUACUUCCGAAUGCUCUGCCCAGAAAUGAUAGAAUAAUUGAAAUAAUAACUUCGAAAAGACUGUCAAAUAAGAAAAAUCGAGGAUUAAUGUAAACACGAAAUAUACCAAGCAAUAGACCGAGCACGAAGCCUAUCAACAUAUCUCUCCAUCCACCUCCAUAUACAACUGGUAGAAUCGAAGCGCUCGCAACUCCAUGCAUGAAGGCAACAAGCCAAUCUCUGUACAAAGGGCGAAAAGAUGUGAUGUUUCGCAAAACUUCUGUACCAUCUUCCGCACUCAACUUAUCCCUCAUAACCCUUCGAAAAAUUUCGUUUACUAAAACCAUCCUAUUUAAAUCGGUUUGAGAUGUAACGCGAACGACAAAAACAUCAGGACUAUACUGCUCAAGCUUUUUAAAAUAAACAAACAUACAAUCUGGAAGGUACAAGAAAGUAGCAGGAAGCUGUAAAAUGCGAGAAGCAAUGCGCAAACUUUGUUGAAUUUUGUGACUUGGGGAGCCGUAAAGCAUCAUAGCUUCACACACUGCCAACAUAAAUUCGACUCGUCUUUCAUAAGAGGAAACAUGAAUGGUGAUGUGAUAAUUUUCGUCAACAUAGCAUCGUGAGUAUCCCAUGUUAUGCAAAAAACUAUUAAAAUCGUAAUCGUUGUUCUGGGUCAAUACGGCUUCUAGCGCAUCAGGUAUUUGGCUUUCCAAAUCAGAGGCUACUCGGUUGGUGAACCGCGAGACGAAGCUGCCAAAAGGUCUGUAAGGUUUUGCAUGUGAUGAUUCUAAAGGGCCAAUAUAAACAUUAGCAUCACGACUAACAAACAAGCAGAGAAAUCUACUAAUGAAACCACGCUUCAUCAUAGGAAAAUAUUCGUUAUGGGACAACAAUUCAGGAUCACAUUUUUCACUGUUCAUAUGGGCGUGACGCCGCAUCUGGAUCAACUUUGAUGAAGCCGAGGGGAAAUGUGACAUUGAUGUUCCCGCCGAGAUAGUAAUUUUUGGAGACUCAUCAGUCGAUUUGCCUAGCAAAUUAUAGGUAUAUUGAUUUCCAGAAAUAGAUGAGCUCCGGGAUGCAGAGUUGAAGGAUUGAACAAGUGAGGUGUUUGAAGCUAAGCUUUUGCUGCUAGUGGGAGUUAAAUUUUCAGACGUAGAGGCGGGAGAAAAAGAUACGGUUGGAGAAGCUGCAGCUGAUGAGGCGGUUAAUGAGGCAGAUUUAGAACUACUGCCAUCUGAAAAUGGAUUGGAUGAUGUGGCCAAAUUUGAAUGAUAUUCAUUAUCCUCAUGAAGUUCUGGUAUGGAAGCGAAAUUACCGUCCUCCUCAUCAUCACUGACAACUUCGCUGUUUGUACCGGAUUGAAUAGAAGCUUGAGAAUCACUACCAACAGAGGAGCUACGGGAUCGAGACUGUGAUCUAAUCGAUUUUCUGGAAUUACUGCUUUUCUGACUAGAACGGUCACUCUUUGCUCCAUCGUUAGAAGUAAGCGAGAAACUAACGCGUUUUCGAGAUUCUUCCGGCGUAGAGUUAGCUCGACGAUGAAACGGUAUUUUUGAUUCCACGUUUAUAAUGGGACUAGUAUUUCCCAACAAUCCAUUAUCGAUACGAAAUUCGGUUUUACGAAUUUUUUUCUUUAAAAGGGACCCAGGUCCAGGAAGUGUACAGAUACUGUCUUGAAUUGGUUGCUGAUCGGGUUGGCGGAGCCAAUUCUUACUAUUGGGGUCUAACUUAAGCUGGACUCCCAUUAAAAAUAGUAGAAGAAAUUUAAAGGUUAGAAAGCGGCUGGUAAAAAAGUGUCAAUCGUUUUCGUUUUUGUGUUAUUUUUUGGGGGGUUAAGAAAUAAUAAAUAAAGGGUUUAAUACUGUAGUAAAGAAACGACUGUAGGAAAU